GAAAAGAAAAGAGAAGCAGAUCGAGCUCUGUGCGACCCAGAGCACUGCGCGCGACGCCACGUCCCUCCGCCUCUGUCAGGCCAUCUCCGGAGCAUCGUGACCGCCUCCUCGUCGCCGUCCUCCCCGUGGCCGUGUUCCUUCCUAUCCCCAACGGAGGAGAGAGAAUCGAAGAAGGAAAGGCCGACAGCUCCUGCAUGACUCCGACGACUUCGCAGCUUUGGUCCGGCGUCCUCUGGCCACCGUUUGGGUCGAUUUUGGUAUGGAAAUCCAUCUCCUCUUCACGUUCUACACGUCUAUAUAAUUGGUUUUUGGAUUGGAUGAAGUUUUGAUGAAUUUGUUUUCUGGGUUCAUGGUGUUCUUUGACGUCGGGACUGACUUGGCCUUCUUGGCUCGAUUUCUUCCUUCCUUGUGUCCUGUUGUUGAGCUUGAAGCAGCGUAGUAGCUGAAUUACAAGGUUACUUAAUUAAAGUGAAGGUAGCUGAGAGUUUCUUGCCCAUCAAUUCGUUGGAAAGUUCUCCUGCUAAUUGGGAUUUUCCAUAGAGACUCUAGUUACCCGGUGAGCGGAAAAGUGGAAAGCUUGUGACUCGCAGAGUGCACAAGGUAGGGAUUCAGUAUUUAUCUUGAUCAGAGCUUUCCACAUUUUAUAAAUGGUGAAUGUUUUGGUUUGGUUGUUUUAAUACUUUAUGUAUUGACCGAACUGUGAGUGGUUGUGAUGGUUUAAGAGCGAGGGGUGGCACUGACUUCCUUAGGUUCGAUCCUUUAACCUCUGGAGGAUUUUAGUUACACUAGUCGUGCGGGUUCCGAUCGUAAGGACAGACUCGAAACGUUGUGUAGCUGGUGUGGUAGUGGACGCUUUUGCUACGCUUACCUGGUACAGCUUAUCUGAGGUAAGAUCGUGUAGUGGGUCUAUAGGACCGACCAUCAGGAAAUGUUGGAUUUUGGGCCCGUAUGUAUUGAGAACCUUGAACUGGUUCUCGAGUCAAAAGAUGUUUAUAAAAGUUUGUCAUUCAUUUACUCA